UACUCGGUCAGCUUUGUGUACAAUGACUAUGAGAAUAUAAAGAUAUGUACUGUAAGCCAGAAUUCCUCCUCUCUAAUUAAAGAUAAUUACCUGAAUGACAUAGUAAUCAGAAACCCUUACAAACCAAACCAAACCAUAGAACAAAAUAAAACAAAAAAAUGGAAACUUCCACCACCUAAAAAUCAGUUUUCUUCAGCAAACACUUCCGGUCCUGGUUCGUUGCAGUUUUGAGAGCUUCACACUUCAGCUCCUGGAUUUCUGGCCUAGAGUGACUGGGAGAGUUCUGUUUUCCCUUCUCACUCAGGGACCUUUUGGGAUAGAUUUUCUAGUCAGCUCUUUCCCACCUCUUUAGGCUGAGUUUCACCUAAGAUCACAAAACUUGUAUUUUUCAUUGUAGAAAAUUUGGAACAUUUCAAUAAAGCAUAAAUAAGAAAAUGAACUUUGCCA
rnacentral:lncRNA from 12 species